CGCCUGCGUGAGGUAAAUCUCCGGAAGGAAGCCCUUGUACGCCGGUUCUGAUAAAUAACGACGGAACUACGCCGGCAGAAGUUUGAGCCUUUCGCUACAGGAGGGACAAAUGCCGGGUUUUUUUUUUUUCAUGGCUGUGCCGUGAGAGGGGGGUAGGAGAGGUUUGACAGCGGGGGUGGCGGGAAAGCGAGGCAGGUGUCUGUCAGGGAUCCUGAGGAGGGAGUUCUGUGGUGGAGUGGCUGGUCCGCCGUCCGUAAGGAAUUAUGUUUGCUGAUGUAAAACAUAAGCAGCCAAGAAGUUGUUUUACGACAUUAAGGAAGUGCACCGAAAUUUAAAUUUGCGGUAAUGUGAGCCUUCCGAUACUGUGUGUCAGUCACGGCUGCCUGACUGGAGAUCCAGGUAACCCUGGGCAGGAGGACAUGGUGGGAGAAGCAAACCAACAGCAGACGCAAAGAGGCUGCUCAGGUUUGGGGUUUCUUAGUAUUGUAAUGGGGUUUCUUCUUAUUAUAAUGGCAUAAUCUCCAAUUUCUGUGGCAGAUGUUUCCACAAAGAUAAAUAACGUACGGAUUCUCAACAAAGAGCCUUUAUGUGGCCACAGGUUGCAUCAGCUGUGUGGUGCCUGAAAAUGAAGCGGACUGGUGAGCCGCUUCCAGAGCUGACGGCGUGACUCAUUGUGUUUGUGCAUCGUCAGUAUUGGGGCAGACAGGAAUCAUCAUGGGAAGCUGAUUGCAGGCAGGAGUGAGUCAAAAGAGGGCCUCCUUCCCCUGAGCUAAACGUGCAGGGACAGUUCAAAACUUGUCUCAGCGAGAAGUUGUCCUACUGCAGGAAUUUUUGUUUUGAAUGAAAGAAGCACUUAUUUAAUUUAGGGGAGGCAUGAUUACUUAAAGCGGCAUAUAAAAACAUAUUUGAUCCUCUGACUAACUUCACAGUUAUUCUAAUGUUGUCUUGCAAAACUUAAGCCCUUUCUGUCAUCAUUUUAAAGCUAGUUUAAUAUUUAUGGAUCACAAGAAUGGAUAUGGAGGAUUAAAUACACUAUCAGGUUCUGCCUGCGAAGCUAGCUGAUGGGGCAUGUUGUGACAGACAGAGGCCCUGUCUCCACAUGAAAUCUCUUGGAGUAAAGUGUUAUAUUUAGGAAAAACGUGUCUGUAUUCCAGCUCUGCACCAUGACAAGUCUAAAGUUUAGAGCACCCGAUAUCUACACAGAGAAAAUCUGUAUAUUUUAAUAUGCAUUCAGCCUAGCUACCAUGAAACUUUUCCAAGCGUAAAGAUAGUUAUGAUCCUGAACAGCUCUUAGGUGAGGAAGCAUAUUGGCAACAGAUAGAUUUCAGGGAGGGUAUCAAGCAAAGUAAAGAUGGGCAGCCAAAUCCUAAAAGGCAUUAUUGAAUAAAGGAAGAUAGGCAUUUUCAGUGAGCUGAACACCUUACUCUUGCCAGUGAUUUACACAGAGGGCAAAUAUCAACAUCGAGCAGGAAGGAAUGGGGAAGAAACUCCACAUGUUGAAACUCAUGUCCACGUACAGAGCAUGUAAGUGUAACCCAUAAGGGAGCAGUAACUGUGAACUUAAUUGAACUCUGCUUUAUUUGGAGCCAAGCCAGCCUCCUUUCCAGCUUCUGCAGUCUUACACAUGCCAGUAUCUUAAAUGAUGAACCUGAGACAGAUCCCAUGACAUCACAAGUAGGAUCCUUGUGCUCUCCUGCCAGCUUUCCCGAGCAACUUUACCCUUCGGAGCUGCUGUUCAGUGGAUCCCACCUACCAGUUUCCUGAAUAAACCGGUCUGUUCCCCUAAAGCCAGGAGCUGUAGUCUGCUGCUCUCCUUCCUCAGGCCCCACAGGAUCACGAACUCCACUCCUCAGCCACUACAGCCCAGGCUUUGAUAACCAAGCCAUUGAUUACCCCAUCCCCCAGUUCUUCCUUGUUAGUGAAUAGCAGAUCCAGCUGCAAAUCACCCCUGGUUGGCCCAGCCAGUAUCAAGAAGUUAUCCUUGAUGCCCUUCAGAACUCUCCUCAACUGCUUGCAUUCUGAGGCGUUGUGCCUGUAGCAGAUGUCAGGCAGGCUGAAAUUCCCCUCAAACCCAGGGUCUGUGAUGAAGAGACUUCCUUGUUCCUAGUUAAAGUUCUCCUCAGCAGGUUGGCUGGCCAGUUGGCAAAGACGCUCUUGUCGCAUUUUGUCAGGUGGAUCUUGUCUCUCCCCAGUGAUACAAGAUAUGACUGAUAUCUUUUCUCAGGCAGGGUUAGUUACCAUACUGAUCUAUAUGCAUUGCAGUGACUCUAACUGCUUUCAAAGCUCUGUCUCCUCGAGCAUACACAAACACAUGCACAAUUCUGGUCUACCCACUCUGUUUUUCCUUAGCUGGUCAAAUAUCUGGCAUACUUAAUUUUUGAAUAAUUCCCAUCACCUCAAGGGGCUUACUUGUGAUAAUUUCCAAUUCUCUUACUCGUUUCCUCAUCUUUUACCUCAUUUUAAUGGUCAAUAGCACAGAAAGUCUUUCUGUAUUUCCCCUCAUUCUAUGCGGCAUGAGUUCAGUUUGCUCAUACCACAGCACCUCAGUUAACACGGCAUUUUAGAAAAAAAUCAGUCUCUCUGUAUGUUACUAAUUUAGCAUCUUCCCAGCUCCCCUGCUUAGUCUCCAGCCACGAUUAGCCCACACCUGUCAGAUGCAGGCCAGCAUAGCCAUACAUCCCCCACUCUUUCUGAAACAUGGUCCAAUACUCCACAGUAUCUAAAUUUUCCCUUGGAACUACAGACAGAAAGAGCACUUCACGCCAAGUAUAUUUUGCCUUCUUUCUCUAAUUUAUGGGUAGGAAGAAACUUCAAGGCAAUCUCUGACUUCCCAUUUGAGUGCCUUUCAAGAUUCCUGCAGUUUUCUAUGGCCUGUACGGUUCCCCUUGAUGCCACAUAACUGGUUCCAAACUGAGUUAUCUCCCAGAUAACCUUAUAAGCUUCAGCAAUAGUGCAAUUGCCUUUUGUGUUUUUGCUUCAGGGAGACAGCACCCUGUCAUAUUUUCCUCGUGUCAUUUUUUGAACACUGUCCACUCUGGAUUAUACAGGGGUAUCUCUCGUAGCAGAUUAAUACUGUAAGGAAUAGUAUUGCAGAUGUAUCUUGCAGCUUUGCAUUUCAGUAGAUGAACUGUUGGAUAUCUGAAGGUUUGACACUUCCAGCCGGCCAAAUACCCGUUCUUGCUUUUCUGCACAUAAAUGGCCAAUCCACUUCUUUUGUUUCUAUUCUUUCUCAUUCCCCUGAUGCUGUCCUCCCCCAUGG